rnacentral:rRNA from 1 species
GUCGUAUGCAGACGCGGAGGAGACAUUACCGAGUUUACAACUCCCAAACCCCUGUGAACAUACCAAUUGUUGCCUCGGCGGAUCAGCCCGCUCCCGGUAAAACGGGACGGCCCGCCAGAGGACCCCUAAACUCUGUUUCUAUAUGUAACUUCUGAGUAAAACCAUAAAUAAAUCAAAACUUUCAACAACGGAUCUCUUGGUUCUGGCAUCGAUGAAGAACGCAGCAAAAUGCGAUAAGUAAUGUGAAUUGCAGAAUUCAGUGAAUCAUCGAAUCUUUGAACGCACAUUGCGCCCGCCAGUAUUCUGGCGGGCAUGCCUGUUCGAGCGUCAUUUCAACCCUCAAGCCCUCGGGUUUGGUGUUGGGGAUCGGCGAGCCCUUGCGGCAAGCCGGCCCCGAAAUCUAGUGGCGGUCUCGCUGCAGCUUCCAUUGCGUAGUAGUAAAACCCUCGCAACUGGUACGCGGCGCGGCCAAGCCGUUAAACCCCCAACUUCUGAAUGUUGACCUCGGAUCAGGUAGGAAUACCCGCUGAACUUAAGCAUAUCAUUAAGCCGAAAGAAAA